rnacentral:rRNA from 1 species
CCUACGGGAGGCAGCAGUGGGGAAUCUUCCGCAAUGGGCGAAAGCCUGACGGAGCAACGCCGCGUGAGUGAAGAAGGCCUUCGGGUUGUAAAACUCUGUCUUCAGGGAAGAAAGAGAUGACGGUACCUGAGGAGGAAGCCACGGCUAACUACGUGCCAGCAGCCGCGGUAAUACGUAGGUGGCAAGCGUUGUCCGGAAUUACUGGGCGUAAAGAGCGCGUAGGCGGGGAUUUAAGUCAGGAGUGAAAACUGCGGGCUCAACCUGCAGCCUGCUCUUGAAACUGGAUUUCUUGAGGGUAUGAGAGGAAAGCGGAAUUCCCAGUGUAGCGGUGAAAUGCGUAGAUAUUGGGAGGAACACCAGUGGCGAAGGCGGCUUUCUGGCAUACAACUGACGCUGAGGCGCGAAAGCGUGGGGAGCGAACGGGAUUAGAUACCCUUGUAGU